rnacentral:rRNA from 2 species
GCUUUUUAAGUUACGCGGCGGACGGGUGAGUAACACGUGGGCAACCUGCCUGUAAGACUGGGAUAACUUCGGGAAACCGGAGCUAAUACGCGGAUAAUCCUUUUCUACUCAUGUAGGAAAGCUGAAAGACGGUUUACGCUGUCACUUACAGAUGGGCCCGCGGCGCAUUAGCUAGUUGGUGAGGUAACGGCUCACCAAGGCGACGAUGCGUAGCCGACCUGAGAGGGUGAUCGGCCACACUGGGACUGAGACACGGCCCAGACUCCUACGGGAGGCAGCAGUAGGGAAUCUUCCGCAAUGGACGAAAGUCUGACGGAGCAACGCCGCGUGAGUGAUGAAGGUUUUCGGAUCGUAAAACUCUGUUGUUAGGGAAGAACAAGUACGAGAGUAACUGCUCGUACCUUGACGGUACCUAACCAGAAAGCCACGGCUAACUACGUGCCAGCAGCCGCGGUAAUACGUAGGUGGCAAGCGUUGUCCGGAAUUAUUGGGCGUAAAGCGCGCGCAGGCGGUCCUUUAAGUCUGAUGUGAAAGCCCACGGCUCAACCGUGGAGGGUCAUUGGAAACUGGGGGACUUGAGUGCAGAAGAGGAAGUGGAAUUCCACGUGUAGCGGUGAAAUGCGUAGAGAUGUGGAGGAACACCAGGGGCGAAGGCGACUCUCUGGUCUGUAACUGACGCUGAGGC